ACUCCGGGAAACCGGGGCUAAUACCGAAUGAUACAUUUCAUCUCCUGGUGAAAUGUUGAAAGAUGGUUUUGCUAUCGCUAUAGGAUGGGCCCGCGGCGCAUUAGCUAGUAGGUGAGGUAACGGCUCACCUAGGCGACGAUGCGUAGCCGACCUGAGAGGGUGAUCGGCCACACUGGGACUGAGACACGGCCCAGACUCCUACGGGAGGCAGCAGUAGGGAAUCUUCCGCAAUGGACGAAAGUCUGACGGAGCAACGCCGCGUGAACGAUGAAGGCCUUCGGGUCGUAAAGUUCUGUUGUUAGGGAAGAACAAGUAUCGGAGUAACUGCCGGUACCUUGACGGUACCUAACCAGAAAGCCACGGCUAACUACG
rnacentral:rRNA from 1 species